rnacentral:lncRNA from 1 species
AAAUCAGAAAGCAAGAGUAAGAGUCGAAGGAGAACUGACAGAGGAAGUAAGUAUACUUAGAGGAGUUCGACAAGGGUGCAUACUUUCACCACUCUUAUUCAACUUGUACAGUGAAGUGAUAUGAAUCUCAAGAAAACGAAAUCAAUGAUAUUC